rnacentral:misc_RNA from 1 species
AAAUUCUCAACCUUUUCAGCUUUUUGUUGAAUAGGCUUGGAUUUUGGGAGUUGUUGCAGGCUGCUCAGAAGUCUGCUCUCCUUAAAUGUAUUAGCGGGGCCCUUGUUGUCUAGCAUUUGGUGUGAUAAUUAUCUACGCCAUUGUGAACAAUGUAAUAGGUCGGCUUCUAAUCGUCUCGUAAAGAGACAAUCUCUGACAUUU